UGACCUCGGAUCANGUAGGAAUACCCGCUGAACUUAAGCAUA
rnacentral:rRNA from 1 species